rnacentral:rRNA from 1 species
UUAAGCGACUAAGCGUACACGGUGGAUGCCCUGGCAGUCAGAGGCGAUGAAGGACGUGCUAAUCUGCGAUAAGCGUCGGUAAGGUGAUAUGAACCGUUAUAACCGGCGAUUUCCGAAUGGGGAAACCCAGUGUGUUUCGACACACUAUCAUUAACUGAAUCCAUAGGUUAAUGAGGCGAACCGGGGGAACUGAAACAUCUAAGUACCCCGAGGAAAAGAAAUCAACCGAGAUUCCCCCAGUAGCGGCGAGCGAACGGGGAGCAGCCCAGAGCCUGAAUCAGUAUGUGUGUUAGUGGAAGCGUCUGGAAAGGCGCGCGAUACAGGGUGACAGCCCCGUACACAAAAAUGCACAUAUUGUGAGCUCGAUGAGUAGGGCGGGACACGUGGUAUCCUGUCUGAAUAUGGGGGGACCAUCCUCCAAGGCUAAAUACUCCUGACUGACCGAUAGUGAACCAGUACCGUGAGGGAAAGGCGAAAAGAACCCCGGCGAGGGGAGUGAAAAAGAACCUGAAACCGUGUACGUACAAGCAGUGGGAGCACGCUUAGGCGUGUGACUGCGUACCUUUUGUAUAAUGGGUCAGCGACUUAUAUUCUGUAGCAAGGUUAACCGAAUAGGGGAGCCGAAGGGAAACCGAGUCUUAACUGGGCGUUAAGUUGCAGGGUAUAGACCCGAAACCCGGUGAUCUAGCCAUGGGCAGGUUGAAGGUUGGGUAACACUAACUGGAGGACCGAACCGACUAAUGUUGAAAAAUUAGCGGAUGACUUGUGGCUGGGGGUGAAAGGCCAAUCAAACCGGGAGAUAGCUGGUUCUCCCCGAAAGCUAUUUAGGUAGCGCCUCGUGAAUUCAUCUCCGGGGGUAGAGCACUGUUUCGGCAAGGGGGUCAUCCCGACUUACCAACCCGAUGCAAACUGCGAAUACCGGAGAAUGUUAUCACGGGAGACACACGGCGGGUGCUAACGUCCGUCGUGAAGAGGGAAACAACCCAGACCGCCAGCUAAGGUCCCAAAGUCAUGGUUAAGUGGGAAACGAUGUGGGAAGGCCCAGACAGCCAGGAUGUUGGCUUAGAAGCAGCCAUCAUUUAAAGAAAGCGUAAUAGCUCACUGGUCGAGUCGGCCUGCGCGGAAGAUGUAACGGGGCUAAACCAUGCACCGAAGCUGCGGCAGCGACACUGAUGUGUUGUUGGGUAGGGGAGCGUUCUGUAAGCCUGCGAAGGUGUGCUGUGAGGCAUGCUGGAGGUAUCAGAAGUGCGAAUGCUGACAUAAGUAACGAUAAAGCGGGUGAAAAGCCCGCUCGCCGGAAGACCAAGGGUUCCUGUCCAACGUUAAUCGGGGCAGGGUGAGUCGACCCCUAAGGCGAGGCCGAAAGGCGUAGUCGAUGGGAAACAGGUUAAUAUUCCUGUACUUGGUGUUACUGCGAAGGGGGGACGGAGAAGGCUAUGUUGGCCGGGCGACGGUUGUCCCGGUUUAAGCGUGUAGGCUGGUUUUCCAGGCAAAUCCGGAAAAUCAAGGCUGAGGCGUGAUGACGAGGCACUACGGUGCUGAAGCAACAAAUGCCCUGCUUCCAGGAAAAGCCUCUAAGCAUCAGGUAACAUCAAAUCGUACCCCAAACCGACACAGGUGGUCAGGUAGAGAAUACCAAGGCGCUUGAGAGAACUCGGGUGAAGGAACUAGGCAAAAUGGUGCCGUAACUUCGGGAGAAGGCACGCUGAUAUGUAGGUGAAGUCCCUCGCGGAUGGAGCUGAAAUCAGUCGAAGAUACCAGCUGGCUGCAACUGUUUAUUAAAAACACAGCACUGUGCAAACACGAAAGUGGACGUAUACGGUGUGACGCCUGCCCGGUGCCGGAAGGUUAAUUGAUGGGGUUAGCCGCAAGGCGAAGCUCUUGAUCGAAGCCCCGGUAAACGGCGGCCGUAACUAUAACGGUCCUAAGGUAGCGAAAUUCCUUGUCGGGUAAGUUCCGACCUGCACGAAUGGCGUAAUGAUGGCCAGGCUGUCUCCACCCGAGACUCAGUGAAAUUGAACUCGCUGUGAAGAUGCAGUGUACCCGCGGCAAGACGGAAAGACCCCGUGAACCUUUACUAUAGCUUGACACUGAACAUUGAGCCUUGAUGUGUAGGAUAGGUGGGAGGCUUAGAAGUGUGGACGCCAGUCUGCAUGGAGCCGACCUUGAAAUACCACCCUUUAAUGUUUGAUGUUCUAACGUUGACCCGUAAUCCGGGUUGCGGACAGUGUCUGGUGGGUAGUUUGACUGGGGCGGUCUCCUCCUAAAGAGUAACGGAGGAGCACGAAGGUUGGCUAAUCCUGGUCGGACAUCAGGAGGUUAGUGCAAUGGCAUAAGCCAGCUUGACUGCGAGCGUGACGGCGCGAGCAGGUGCGAAAGCAGGUCAUAGUGAUCCGGUGGUUCUGAAUGGAAGGGCCAUCGCUCAACGGAUAAAAGGUACUCCGGGGAUAACAGGCUGAUACCGCCCAAGAGUUCAUAUCGACGGCGGUGUUUGGCACCUCGAUGUCGGCUCAUCACAUCCUGGGGCUGAAGUAGGUCCCAAGGGUAUGGCUGUUCGCCAUUUAAAGUGGUACGCGAGCUGGGUUUAGAACGUCGUGAGACAGUUCGGUCCCUAUCUGCCGUGGGCGCUGGAGAACUGAGGGGGGCUGCUCCUAGUACGAGAGGACCGGAGUGGACGCAUCACUGGUGUUCGGGUUGUCAUGCCAAUGGCACUGCCCGGUAGCUAAAUGCGGAAGAGAUAAGUGCUGAAAGCAUCUAAGCACGAAACUUGCCCCGAGAUGAGUUCUCCCUGAC